UUAUGAGAGUUUGAUCCUGGCUCAGGACGAACGCUGGCGGCGUGCCUAAUACAUGCAAGUCGAACGCUUCUUUUUCCACCGGAGCUUGCUCCACCGGAAAAAGAGGAGUGGCGAACGGGUGAGUAACACGUGGGUAACCUGCCCAUCAGAAGGGGAUAACACUUGGAAACAGGUGCUAAUACCGUAUAACAAUCGAAACCGCAUGGUUUUGAUUUGAAAGGCGCUUUCGGGUGUCACUGAUGGAUGGACCCGCGGUGCAUUAGCUAGUUGGUGAGGUAACGGCUCACCAAGGCCACGAUGCAUAGCCGACCUGAGAGGGUGAUCGGCCACAUUGGGACUGAGACACGGCCCAAACUCCUACGGGAGGCAGCAGUAGGGAAUCUUCGGCAAUGGACGAAAGUCUGACCGAGCAACGCCGCGUGAGUGAAGAAGGUUUUCGGAUCGUAAAACUCUGUUGUUAGAGAAGAACAAGGAUGAGAGUAACUGUUCAUCCCUUGACGGUAUCUAACCAGAAAGCCACGGCUAACUACGUGCCAGCAGCCGCGGUAAUACGUAGGUGGCAAGCGUUGUCCGGAUUUAUUGGGCGUAAAGCGAGCGCAGGCGGUUUCUUAAGUCUGAUGUGAAAGCCCCCGGCUCAACCGGGGAGGGUCAUUGGAAACUGGGAGACUUGAGUGCAGAAGAGGAGAGUGGAAUUCCAUGUGUAGCGGUGAAAUGCGUAGAUAUAUGGAGGAACACCAGUGGCGAAGGCGGCUCUCUGGUCUGUAACUGACGCUGAGGCUCGAAAGCGUGGGGAGCAAACAGGAUUAGAUACCCUGGUAGUCCACGCCGUAAACGAUGAGUGCUAAGUGUUGGAGGGUUUCCGCCCUUCAGUGCUGCAGCUAACGCAUUAAGCACUCCGCCUGGGGAGUACGACCGCAAGGUUGAAACUCAAAGGAAUUGACGGGGGCCCGCACAAGCGGUGGAGCAUGUGGUUUAAUUCGAAGCAACGCGAAGAACCUUACCAGGUCUUGACAUCCUUUGACCACUCUAGAGAUAGAGCUUCCCCUUCGGGGGCAAAGUGACAGGUGGUGCAUGGUUGUCGUCAGCUCGUGUCGUGAGAUGUUGGGUUAAGUCCCGCAACGAGCGCAACCCUUAUUGUUAGUUGCCAUCAUUCAGUUGGGCACUCUAGCAAGACUGCCGGUGACAAACCGGAGGAAGGUGGGGAUGACGUCAAAUCAUCAUGCCCCUUAUGACCUGGGCUACACACGUGCUACAAUGGGAAGUACAACGAGUCGCGAAGUCGCGAGGCUAAGCUAAUCUCUUAAAGCUUCUCUCAGUUCGGAUUGCAGGCUGCAACUCGCCUGCAUGAAGCCGGAAUCGCUAGUAAUCGCGGAUCAGCACGCCGCGGUGAAUACGUUCCCGGGCCUUGUACACACCGCCCGUCACAUUUGUUUGAGCAAUGGAGGGACGCAGGAGGCUAAGGAAUGCAGACGAUCGGAAAUGUCUGUCCAAGCAGUAAUUGGGGUGAAGUCGUAACAAGGUAGCCGUAUCGGAAGGUGCGGCUGGAUCACCUCCUUU
rnacentral:rRNA from 1 species